rnacentral:lncRNA from 1 species
GUGGCGGCGGCGCCACCGGCGACCGCCAUGGCCGCCAGCUGAAGCUUCCUCAGCUGGCCGAAGAAGAAGGAAAAAGAAACGGCUGGAAGUGGAGAAAGGAAGAAAAGAAAAGAAGGAAAGAAAGAAAGAAAAAAGGGGUUUGGGCUAAGGUUAGUUUUUAGGUGGGUUUGUGAUUAUUUUGUUAGGUUUUGGGGAUGGGCUUUAGUUUAUUUUUUCUUUUGGGUUUCCGUUGGGCUAGGAGGUUGGAGCCCAUGUAUUUUUUGGCUGGGCUUGAGGGAUAAAAAGACGGGCUGGCCUGUGUGUUUUGGCUUGGGCUUUCAGUUGGGUUUAGGUAAGUUCGGCCCAAGUAAAAUAAAAAGGGAGGCCCGAUGCCCUUUUCUUGUCCAAAUCAGAAACGAACUUGCACUUCAGUCCCUGUACUUUCAAGUACUUUCACUGCGGCCCAUAACAUUUUAAAUUCCUUUCAACUCGGUCCUUAAAUUAAUUUCACUUUGGUCCCUGAAUUUUAUCUUUCAUUUAAUUUGGACCCCUGAACUUUGGAAAAUAUAAUUUUUGUCCCCCAAAAGUUUUCAAUUUUUGCAAUUCAGUCCUUGGCAAAUUUUGGCUCUCUUUAUUAUGAUUGUUUCUUUUCUUUAAUAGCUAAUUAUGCUACUUUUGAAUAUACUUAACUUGUAAUUUUUAGAUUUGCUUAAAUUUCUUUACGUCUGACAUAUUAGUGUGAAUUUAGUGCUUGUAUUAUUAUUUUCUUUUUCAAUUAAAUUGGUGCCAUGAUCCUUUUGUUCAUUGUGAGUAUAAUUAGGACAAUUUGAUUCCAUUUAGUCACCACUUCAAACGGGAGGUACUCCUAUUUUAUUAUUUCAAUGUCAAUUACGUGCUCUUAUG